UACGGAGGGGGCAAGCGUUGUUCGGAAUUACUGGGCGUAAAGGGCGCGCAGGCGGCUGCUCAAGUCAGGCGUGAAAGGCCUGGGCUCAACCCGGGAAUUGCGCUUGAGACUGGGCUGGCUUGAGUGCGGGAGAGGAUGGUGGAAUUCCCAGUGUAGAGGUGAAAUUCGUAGAUAUUGGGAAGAACACCGGUGGCGAAGGCGGCCAUCUGGACCGCAACUGACGCUGAGGCGCGAAAAGCGUGGGGAGCAAACAGGG
rnacentral:rRNA from 1 species